AACGAACGCUGGCGGCAUGCCUAACACAUGCAAGUCGAACGAGAGCUUCGGGUCUGGUUGCGCAUGGGGGCGUAACGCGGGGGAACCUGCCCUUAGAUUCGGAAUAACUCCCUGAAAGGGGUGCUAAUAUCGGGUAAUGUCUUCGGACCAAAGAUUUAUCGCCUUUGGAUGGGCCGGCGUUGGAUUAGCUAGUUGGUAGGGUAAAAGCCUACCAAGGCGACGAUCCAUAGCUGGUCUGAGAGGAUGAUCAGCCACACUGGGACUGAGACAGGAGCGAGACACCUUCGGCAGGCAGCAGAGGGGUAAAUUGGACAAUGCGCGAGAGUGAAAUACAGCUAUGCCGCGUAAGUGAUGAAGGCUUGAGGAUUGUAAAACUCUGUUACCACGGAGGAUUAUGAAAGUACCGCAAAGAUGAACUCCGGGUAACUCCGUG
rnacentral:rRNA from 1 species